rnacentral:rRNA from 1 species
AUGUAUAGGCUUAGUCUACUUCGACGAGCAAUUGCCUUAUGUUUCUUUUAUCAUGCUCUUCAAACUAUAGGUGUUCGGUUCUUCCCUACCAUUCAAGAGGAAAAUGAUUCACUGGCCAAAGAUUUUGUCCAUGGUCCAGCCAAACAAAAUCUCAAAAGCUUGAAGUCAAACUCCACUGAGUUAAUAACUUCUGGAGGUUCUAGUUUAUGGGAUGAUCCCUAUUUUGUGUCACACCUAACACAUUCUGGAGGUCCCAAUGACAACUAUUAUGGCUUACAUGCCACCAUGGAUGUGUAUGGCCACGAACUAAAACAUGGCCAGUUGAGUUCGACUACGUUUUGGAUUAAUCAUGCCGGAGAUGGUAAAAAAUCAAGCUAUAAUGCGAUUCAAGUUGGCUGGCAUAUUAAUCCAGAACGAUAUGGCGACUCACAUCCUCACUUCUACACCCGUUGGACGAGAGAUAAUUAUGAUGCAACCGGCUGCUACAACAUGGACUGCCCUGGUUACAUACGGGUAGAUGGCGCUAUUAUAGCUCCGGGUGAUGCUAUACAUCCAGUUUCUAAUGUCCCUGAUGGACCUAGACAAAGUAUCACUCUGAGGGUGCUAAAGGACAAAAGAAGUGGAGAUUGGUGGGUGUAUUACGGCUUCAAUAAAAUCCCCACUGGCGUGGGAUACUUCCCUAGGUCGUUGUUUAGCUACUUAGCAGAAAAGGCAGACGGAAUGCAAUUUGGUGCAUUUGUUCAAGCUAAAAAAGCACUUCCAACUCCUCCAAUGGGCAGUGGUGCCCUCCCAAAUGGUGGUAAGGGUCGCGCCGCAUCAUUCAAAAACAUUAGAUUCAUUGACCAGGAUGGAAAUAGCAGCCCGAUCAAGGAAGACCUGCCCAUGUUUGUUACUGAUAGAAAAUGUCACUCUAUCACCCAUAUUGAUCAUGCUGAAUGCUUUUAUGGUGGUCCUGGAGGGUGUAUGAGAUAA